rnacentral:rRNA from 1 species
AGUCACUGACAUUAGAUACCCGUGUAGUCCAGGGUGUAAACGCUGCAGACUUGGUGUUGGAGGCCCUUUGGGGGCAUUCAGUGCCGGAGAGAAGUUGUUAAGUCUGCUACUUGGGGAGUACGUCCGCAAGGAUGAAACUUAAAGGAAUUGGCGGGGGAGCACCGCAACGGGAGGAGCGUGCGGUUUAAUUGGAUUCAACACCGUAAAACUCACCAGGGAAGACUGUUACAUGAAGGCCGAGAUGAAGACUCUGCUAGAUUUUUCAG